GCAUCGUCUGUUAACAUUUAUACUGCGAAACUGCGAAUGGCUCAUUAAAUCAGUUAUCGUUUAUUUGAUAGUACCUUACUACUUGGAUAACCGUGGUAAUUCUAGAGCUAAUACAUGCUAAAAAUCCCGACUCACGGAGGGAUGUAUUUAUUAGAUUAAAAACCAAUGCCCUUCGGGGCUCUCUGGUGAUUCAUAAUAACUUCUCGAAUCGCAUGGCCUUGCGCCGGCGAUGGCUCAUUCAAAUUUCUGCCCUAUCAACUUUCGAUGGCAGGGUCUUGGCCUGCCAUGGUUACAACGGGUAACGGAGGGUUAGGGCUCGACCCCGGAGAAGGAGCCUGAGAAACGGCUACUACAUCCAAGGAAGGCAGCAGGCGCGCAAAUUACCCAAUUCCGAUACGGAGAGGUGUAAGUUCAACCCCCAAAAAAACAACCUACGAAAUUUUUACCUAGUGAAGACCGAUUGCUAACUUUCUAUUUACAGAGUGACGAUAAAUACUGAUACAGGGCUCUUUUGGGUCUUGUAAUUGGAAUGAGUACAAUUUAAAUCCCUUAACGAGGAACAAUUGGAGGGCAAGUCUGGUGCCAGCAGCCGCGGUAAUUCCAGCUCCAAUAGCGUAUAUUAAAGUUGUUGCAGUUAAAAAGCUCGUAGUUGAACCUUGGGCCUGGCUGGCCGGUCCGCCUCACCGCGUGUACUGGUUCGGCCGGGCCUUUCCCUCUGGGGAACCCCAUGCCCUUCACUGGGUGUGGCGGGGAACCAGGACUUUUACUGUGAAAAAAUUAGAGUGUUCAAAGCAGGCCUAUGCUCGAAUACAUCAGCAUGGAAUAAUAGAAUAGGACGUGCGGUUCUAUUUUGUUGGUUUCUAGGACCGCCGUAAUGAUUAAUAGGGACAGUCGGGGGCAUCAGUAUUCAAUUGUCAGAGGUGAAUUCUUGGAUUAUUGAAGACAACUACUGCGAAACAUUUGCAAGGAUGUUUCAUAAUCAGGACCAAAG
rnacentral:rRNA from 1 species